rnacentral:lncRNA from 1 species
GUGAUCGAACCCCCGUCGGUUUAGAACGCUUGGAUAACUACAACAACCGAAAAUCUCAACCAAUUAAACCGUGCGAUGAACUCCAACAACAAAAACUUUGUUCCAACGAGACUGAGAACUGUGACUGGGUGGCACUCAAAUCCUCCGCCUUCUUACCUCUGCCUCACACCGAGGCUGGAAAACUUUUUCUGGGCCCUGAAAACAAUAGGUCUUUUCCACCCAUAGAAACUUUAUACCCAGAGAGUCUCGGCGUCCACUUCUACAACUACUUGACACACG